UACAGAGGGUGCAAGCGUUAAUCGGAAUUACUGGGCGUAAAGCGUGCGCAGGCGGUUGUGCAAGACCGAUGUGAAAUCCCCGGGCUUAACCUGGGAACUGCGCUUGUUACUGGCAAGCUAGAGUGUGGCAGAGGGGGGUAGAAUUCCAGGUGUAGCAGUGAAAUGCGUAGAUAUCUGGAGGAAUACCGAUGGCGAAGGCAGCCCCCUGGGUUAACACUGACGCUCAUGUACGAAAGCGUGGGGAGCAAACAGG
rnacentral:rRNA from 1 species